rnacentral:rRNA from 1 species
GUGGGGAAUAUUGGACAAUGGGCGAAAGCCUGAUCCAGCCAUGCCGCGUGUGUGAAGAAGGUCUUCGGAUUGUAAAGCACUUUAAGUUGGGAGGAAGGGCAGUAAGUUAAUACCUUGCUGUUUUGACGUUACCGACUGAAUAAGCACCGGCUAACUUCGUGCCAGCAGCCGCGGUAAUACGAAGGGUGCAAGCGUUAAUCGGAAUUACUGGGCGUAAAGCGCGCGUAGGUGGUUUUGUAAGUUGGAGGUGAAAUCCCCGGGCUCAACCUGGGAACUGCCUCCAAAACUGCAUGACUAGAGUACGGUAGAGGGUAGUGGAAUUUCCUGUGUAGCGGUGAAAUGCGUAGAUAUAGGAAGGAACACCAGUGGCGAAGGCGACUACCUGGACUGAUACUGACACUGAGGUGCGAAAGCGUGGGGAGCAAACAGGAUUAGAUACCCCUGUAGUCC